CAUCAUCUUUUUAACUGGACCAACAACCCUGACUGUGCAAAAGGCAGCAUAAUCAUUAGGUCAUUUAAUUGUAAUCUUGUAUGAAUGAUUGGACAAAAGAAAUACUGCCUUUAUAUUAAAGUUUGAAUUUAACUUUUAAGUGAAAAGGCUUAAAUAUACUAAAGGGACGAUAAGACCCUAUAAAACUUUACAUUAAUAUUAAAUUUUAUUAAAUUUAACUAUAAUAAUUAAAUUUGAUUUUUUGUUAUAUUGGGGAGAUAAAAGCUAUAAUUGUGAAUAACUGCUUAUAAAAAAAACAAUAAUAUAUGGAAUAUGGUUAUAGAUCCUUUUUGAAGAUUUAAAGAUUAAGUUACUUUAGGGAUAACAGCGUUAUUUUUUUUGAGAGUUCAUAUCGAAAAGAAAGAUUGCGACCUCGAUGUUGAAUUAAAAUAUCUCUAUAAUGCAGGCGUUAUAAGAGAAGGUCUGUUCGACCUUUAAUUUUUUACAUGAUCUGAGUUCAAACCGGCG
rnacentral:rRNA from 1 species